rnacentral:tRNA from 1 species
GGUCUCUUAGCAAAGUGGCUAUGCACCGGUCUGCAAAACCGUUCACGGCGGUUCGAAUCCGCCAGAGACCU